GACGAACGCUGGCGGCGUGCUUAACACAUGCAAGUCGAACGGAAAGGCCCUGCUUUUGUGGGGUGCUCGAGUGGCGAACGGGUGAGUAACACGUGAGUAACCUGCCCUUGACUUUGGGAUAACUUCAGGAAACUGGGGCUAAUGCCGGAUAGGAGCUCCUGCUGCAUGGUGGGGGUUGGAAAGUUUCGGCGGUUGGGGAUGGACGCGCGGCUUAUCAGCUUGUUGGUGGGGUAGUGGCUUACCAAGGCUUUGACGGGUAGCCGGCCUGAGAGGGUGACCGGCCACAUUGGGACUGAGAGACGGCCCAGACUCCUACGGGAGGCAGCAGUGGGGAAUAUUGCACAAUGGGCGGAAGCCUGAUGCAGCAACGCCGCGUGCGGGAUGACGGCCUUCGGGUUGUAAACCGCUUUCGCCUGUGACGAAGCGUGAGUGACGGUAAUGGGUAAAGAAGCACCGGCUAACUACGUG
rnacentral:rRNA from 1 species